rnacentral:lncRNA from 1 species
AUUACAAUUAUAAAUAACUUUAACCUUAACAACUGAACAGCGGAACAGUUAACCGAAUCUCGUUAUUCGCCAACUGACAAGUUUUAUUCAGUUCAAGGAACUUUGAAAAAAAAACUCAACUCAUAAUUUAACCAGCGAACCGCUUUCUAAAUAAAUUACGCCUCAACACGUAAAUAUUCAAAGUUUUCCGCUAAAUCUCCAAUGCAAACCGUGAUCAAAAACCAGCCAG